AACGAGUAAGCCGAAAAGCGAAAUGAGUAGGCA
rnacentral:ncRNA from 1 species